rnacentral:lncRNA from 1 species
AAACAUGGAAAUACUUUUUGUAUUGUAAAUAAAUUUAUUUAAUCAUCUUUGUGGCUACACUAGCUAGGCCAAAAUGAAAAAAAAAAAAAAAAAAAAAAAAAAAAAAUCGUGUUAGUUACAUCCUGGUCGAUCAUAUAGCCACACGUAGCUUUGUGUAUAAACAUUAUUGUUAUUAGCCGUUCAAUUAUAUCAUUUUCGAAAUUUCCCCCCUU